rnacentral:rRNA from 1 species
GACGAACGCUGGCGGCGUGCCUAAUACAUGCAAGUCGAGCGGAGCGGCGGACGGGUGAGUAAUGCCUAGGAAUCUGCCUGGUAGUGGGGGAUAACGUACGGAAACGGGCGCUAAUACCGCACACUAUCAGAUGAGCCUAGGUGGGAUUAGCUAGUUGGUGGGGGAAAGGCCUACCAAGGCGACGAUCCGUAACUGGUCUGAGAGGAUGAUCAGUCACACUGGAACUGAGACACGGUCCAGACUCCUACGGGAGGCAGCAGUGGGGAAUAUUGGACAAUGGGCGCAAGCCUGAUCCAGCCAUGCCGCGUGUGUGAAGAAGGUCUUCGGAUUGUAAAGCACUUUAAGUUGGGAGGCGUUACCAGCAGAAUAAGCACCGGCUAACUUCGUGCCAGCAGCCGCGGUAAUAC